AUUGAACGCUGGCGGCAGGCCUAACACAUGCAAGUCGAGCGGCAGCGGAAAGUAGCUUGCUACUUUGCCGGCGAGCGGCGGACGGGUGAGUAAUGUCUGGGAAACUGCCUGAUGGAGGGGGAUAACUACUGGAAACGGUAGCUAAUACCGCAUGACCUCGAAAGAGCAAAGUGGGGGAUCUUCGGACCUCACGCCAUCGGAUGUGCCCAGAUGGGAUUAGCUAGCAGGUGAGGUAAUGGCUCACCUAGGCGACGAUCCCUAGCUGGUCUGAGAGGAUGACCAGCCACACUGGAACUGAGACACGGUCCAGACUCCUACGGGAGGCAGCAGUGGGGAAUAUUGCACAAUGGGCGCAAGCCUGAUGCAGCCAUGCCGCGUGUGUGAAGAAGGCCGUAGGGUUGUAAAGCACUUUCAGCGAGGAGGAAGGCAUCAUACUUAAUACGUGUGGUGAUUGACGUUACUCGCAGAAGAAGCACCGGCUAACUCCGUGCCAGCAGCCGCGGUAAUACGGAGGGUGCAAGCGUUAAUCGGAAUUACUGGGCGUAAAGCGCACGCAGGCGGUUUGUUAAGUCAGAUGUGAAAUCCCCGCGCUUAACGUGGGAACUGCAUUUGAAACUGGCAAGCUAGAGUCUUGUAGAGGGGGGUAGAAUUCCAGGUGUAGCGGUGAAAUGCGUAGAGAUCUGGAGGAAUACCGGUGGCGAAGGCGGCCCCCUGGACAAAGACUGACGCUCAGGUGCGAAAGCGUGGGGAGCAAACAGG
rnacentral:rRNA from 1 species